rnacentral:rRNA from 1 species
GACGAACGCUGGCGGCGUGCUUAACACAUGCAAGUCGAACGGAGAGGCCCUGCUUUUGUGGGGUGCUCGAGUGGCGAACGGGUGAGUAACACGUGAGUAACCUGCCCUUGACUUUGGGAUAACUUCAGGAACUGGGGCUAAUACCGGAUAGGAGCUCCUGCUGCAUGGUGGGGUUGGAAAGUUUCGGCGGUUGGGGAUGGACUCGCGGCUUAUCAGCUUGUUGGUGGGGUAGUGGCUUACCAAGGCUUUGACGGGUAGCCGGCCUGAGAGGGUGACCGGCCACAUUGGGACUGAGAUACGGCCCAGACUCCUACGGGAGGCAGCAGUGGGGAAUAUUGCACAAUGGGCGGAAGCCUGAUGCAGCAACGCCGCGUGCGGGAUGACGGCCUUCGGGUUGUAACCGUACUUCGCCUCGUGACGAAGCGUGAGUGACGGU